rnacentral:lncRNA from 1 species
UGGGGAUGAGUGGAUUUAAUGCUGUGGGCCCCAAUUUCCUGUAGACGAAAUGCAAGGCUCAGCUCAUCACCUGUCUGCUUCACAAGGAUGUUGAGAAGGAAUCAAAGUUACUUGAAAAUACACCAAGAUGGCACCAGCUCAGUCAGUGGCCCUGAGAUUGGCUAUUCCAGUGGUUUGCUGAGUUCCAUUGUCUUUCCCCCCUGCAAUUAGGUAAGUAAAAAACACUCCCAUUUAAAUGCUGGUGGACAGAUUCAUACAUAUU